rnacentral:lncRNA from 1 species
CGCACCACCACGCGCAGGCCACACCCUAAUGUCCAUCAGGAAUAUUCCAUCAAAAUUGAUGAAAUAUUCUGUUAAAUACUAAUAAAAGUUAACGGCGUUACCUGACACCGUUAGAAUAUUCCGUCAACUUUAGCGGAAUAUAACGUCGUCUUCUUCGGCGAGCUUCGCCGGUCGCCGCUGACCAUCAUCUGGUUUCAUUGGAAACUGGGGAAAAAUUCAAACCUCCAUAUCUUCUUCAUUUCUCAACCAUUUUUCACAAAAUUUAAAUGGAAAUGAAGCUUAUGAAGAGUAGAACACGAUUAUAGCUUUUAGAAGUCCAAAAAGUGAACGGAAGUGGCCUGAAAAGGGCUCGAAAGGUUUGGGUUAAACUCUGAUUUCUCGAAACCUUGUGUUUCGAGGUUCUUUCAUCUUCAAACCUUCACUAAGACCUCGGGGAGUUGAGUGGAGGCCUUUAGACUUCCUAAAAACUUGUAACUCGCUCGUAACUGAUAGGAGCAUUUUUAUGCGACUUAAUUGGCUUGUUCUCAUGCAUUUAUGUUGUUUUUCCUUAGUUAGUUUAGUGUUUAAAGUCAUUUUCGUGCAAUUUCAGGUUUUAUUGUCAAAGUAUGCAAAAAUGAGCAUUUUGGAGCUUUUAGGAGCAAAAUUGGGCUUGGAAUGAAGUGCAUAUGCAUGGAGCAAGGAGUUUGGACGAAUUUGAAGUCAAAACAUCAAAUGAACAUGCUAAAAAUCUGGUGAAACAAAUACAAGUUGCAAGAAGGGAUAGGUUUCUAGAAGGAUUGACCAAAAUUCCACUCAAAACCAUGUUCACACCAAAAAAAUCACAUCCUUGCCGUGCAUCCUUGAUGCUUUCACACCAGAAAAUUGAGUGAAUGAUUCAAUACCUAACCAACUAGGAAAUUGAAUAAAUGAUUCAUCCCUAAAAUCACAUGCUUGCCGUGCAUUCUUGUUGCUUUCACACCAUAAAAUUGAGUGAAUGAUUCAAGACCUAACCCACCAUUAUUCUCCACAUGCUUGCCGUAUAUCCUUGUUGUUUUCACACCAGAAAAUUGAAUUAAACAAGUCCAUCCUCUCCCUAUAAAUACCCAUGGCAGCAGCCUCAUUGAGGACAUCCAGAAAUUAACCAUUCUCCAACCUUGUGUUGCAACAAAGAAGAAGAGGAAAGUUCUUGUACGUGCUUGCUAUCCGACAUGGAUCGUUGGAACGUUUAGGUGUUUUCUUUCUUUUGUUUUCAAUGUAUAAUUCUAUUUAUCUUUGCUUUGUGAACAUGAGGAACUAAACCCCUAUUUAGUUAGGGGGAAGUUUGAAGCCAUGAACAUGCUUGUGAUAUGAAUUGAUUUCUUCCAAUUGUGAUUUGAUAAGUUGUGAUUGCAAUUCAAUUAUCUAUUUUCUUCAUAACUAAUUCUUGUAUGUUUAUUAAGGAUGCAUACUUAGUUUUCAUACAUGAAUUAGAUGCUAGAAUAUAAAUGAGUUUCACCUAAUUGUUACAAGUUUAUAUUCAUGAGUAGUGAAGGUUGCUUGUCACAAUCGCGUUAAAUGAAUUCUUGGCAAACGUAUCAUGCAUUCAUAGUUACAAUUGCCUCGUCAACACUUAUGAUUUUCAUUGAACGUAAUGAUCUCUGAUUGUAUCUCUAUUAUGCAUUCAUAUAGGGGACUUUUAGAGAAUAAUUUGGAUUGUCGCAUGCAUUCAUCCAAUUCAAUAAGUAAAGGAAAAUCUGAGGGUUAAUUUGUGCAUCACGGUCAAUCUGGAGUGUUGAGCAUCAUAGUUUAUUGAAAAGCAAUUGGAAAUCGAUUCAUGUACAAGUGUGUCAUGUGUGAAGAGCGGACCUCUAACUAAUCCAUCCACCAUCUUAUUUCUCAAAUUCGUUUUAUAAUCUGCCUAGCUAAAAAUCUAUUUAAGUUUUAGUUUAUUUGUUUUACUUUCAACUUCACCAACCCAAAUCCCCGUUUUACUUCUAGUUUUAAAGUCUUUUGUUUACAUUUUUAACUUUGUUUCUUUUUGUUUUUGAGUCAGUUUAGAGGUUUUAGCAAACCCUCCUAAUCCCCGGUUUAGAACGAUCCCUACUUACAUACUUUGCUACAAUUGUCAAAAGAGGGUUUAAUUUGUGUGCUUAUAAUAUUUCGCAUCAAAUUUUGGCGCCGUUGCCGGGGAUUAGCAACUUUGCUAAAUCCCCAUUGUUUCUUUUUAUUUCUUUUUUGUGUGUUUUAAUUUUAGUUUUAAUUUUAUUUGAUUUUGUUUAUUUCAGGUACUAGUUUAUGACUCGUAGUUCUCAACCAAUUCGUGCACAUAUAUCGGAGUUUGACGACAAUUUUGAACGAACUUUGAGAAGGAAAAGGAAAGUACCAGAACCUAAUCCACCUAGAUCUAGUUCUGAAUCCGAAUUUGAAGAAAAUGAGGAGGCAGAAAAAGACAUGGAGGUGGACAAUCGAACAAUCAAAGAACUUUCAGCCUCGGG